CGGUCAAUUUGCCGACCAUAAACGUGUUAACGUUGCUACACAGGCUCCUGUUUUACUGCACAGGAUAGCACAGGAUAUAGUCAAGAAACGACACGGGGCAAAGAUGGGAAUGAUCGAAAGCAGAAAAUUGCGAAAUAUCGAGAAUGAUUGAUUGUUUUCGUUCGGUAUUCUGCCGGCAGCCGUGAAAGGACGAAGAGGGCGGAAGGGAUGAAGAAGACGAAGAAGAAACGCUCCAAAACUGUAAAUAGAUUCAACUUCAUAGAAGUUCGGAUUAUUUCAAAGUAAUGGACGAUAGUUCAAUGUAUUGGGCCAUGAAUAAAUGAAACACUGAGAGUCUGAGAGUCAAUGUUUCACUAUACGUUCUGUUAUCCGAAAUAUAUACUCAUUAUCCAUUAAAGAAUUAUAAUGUAUUGUGUAAGUGUGCAAAUUCUGUAGUCUUCCUUCUAUUUUUUUC